rnacentral:rRNA from 1 species
AUUGAACGCUGGCGGCAGGCCUAACACAUGCAAGUCGAACGAGUGGCGGACGGGUGAGUAAUGUCUGGGAAACUGCCUGAUGGAGGGGGAUAACUACUGGAAACGGUAGCUAAUACCGCAUACCAUACGAUGUGCCCAGAUGGGCUGAGCUGGUUGGUGGGGUAACGGCUCCCCAAGGCGACGAUCCCUAGCAGGUCUGCGAGGAUGACCAGCCACACUGGAACUUAGACACGGGCCAGCCUCCUACGGGAGGAAGCAGUGGGGCAUUGUGCACAAUUGGCGCAAGCCUGAUGCAGCCAUGCCGCGUGUCUGAAGAAGGCCUUCGGGGUGUCAAGUACUUUCAGCGUGGAGGCGGUACCCGCAGAAGAAGCACCGGCUAACUCCGUGCCAGCAGCCGCGGUAAUUC